rnacentral:misc_RNA from 1 species
UUUCCGUAGGUGAACCUGCGGAAGGAUCAUUGCCGAGCGUGCGUGCGCGUGUCGCGUCGUGGGCAACCACGGCGCGCGCCGCCGCAUUUCUCAACAACCCAUGUGAACUCUGUGAACGUGACUCGUGCGCGCGAGCGCACACUUUUAACCAACGACGUUGACUGUGCUUCUCUGACUGAGACAAACUGUCCGCGGCGCUAACGCGACGUGACAUCAUAACCAACAUAUCACAACUUUUAACAACGGAUAUCUUGGCUCGC